GCAAAGUUAUUUCUUAAUUGAUCUAUUUCAUUCUGUCAUUUCAUUUACUUUUUUUGUAGAUGCAUCAAACGGUGAGGAUCUGCGGCACCGGAAAAAGGUUCUAAAAAAAGCAAAAGAAAAAACUACUCCGGCGGCGUAGUUCGGGAGGACCUGAUUUACUCUUGCCCCGUGAGCAUUUACUCAACCGGAGGCGGGGCUCUUUGCCAAGUGAAAUGUUUACAUCUCAAUCAGGUAACUCAAAUAAUAGAAAUUUGGAGAAUUCAAGACGGAUCGUCAGCUCCAGAAGGUCUUUGGCUCACCCUAAGAUCCAGCUACUUCCGCAAUAGCUAAGUUCCACUGGUCCAUCACCUCUCGACUCACAGUCCUUUGCUAAUGCAAUCUUAUCGCUCACAUCUUUGAAUUGUGUCACUGAAUAUAGAUAAAAUGACUUCAGGUCUCUCAUGAGCGUAAUUUAGCUCUCUAAUUCCGACUUUAAAUGAAAACCCCUUGUUAAUAUUGUUCCAAAAACACCUAUACAGAGAAUAGUUUCUCAUGCAUUGAAUGUUUUCUACCAGUUAACCUCUGUAUCGGAGCGUACAGAAUGCAACUCUGAUGAGGUAUGAGAUGAAUUAUAAAGCAAUUAUGAUAAAAUUAGUAUCCAGUUCAGUGCAGUCUGCUUUAACUUAUUUGUCUCAAGAUUAUUUUUUCCCGCUUCUUUUUUCUUGAUUCUCACUAAGAGGACUCUGGAGAAAGAGACAUUUUUAACGUUGAAAAAGAUUACUGUCAAAGGCACUCAGAGUGUUGAAAAAGUCUCACUUUCAUUUUAACAUGUGUUUUAUGAUAAAAUUUAAGAACAAAAUCAACGGAUUUUGAGCUUCCUUAACUGCUAUUUAAGUCGUUGCAGUUUUAGUCCGAUCGAAAAAGCAGCUAGAUUCAUAAUUACCUACUGAAACAAUAUCUCGUUUCGCUUCUUUUUUUUCAUAAGUAUCUCCAUGUCUGACUGAAUUGAUCACAUAAGUACCCUCUCUAUUUUCCAUAUCAAGUAGAUGAUUUUUACUUUCUUUUUAUUAAAAAAGGGGGGUGGGGGAAAUGCCAAAUUUUUGUGUUCUCACAUAUGGAAAUAAGUUUCAAAAAACCAUUUCUAUUUCUAUUUUUGUGAGA
rnacentral:lncRNA from 1 species